rnacentral:rRNA from 1 species
ACUCCUACGGGAGGCAGCAGUGAGGAAUCUUGCGCAAUGGGGGAAACCCUGACGCAGCAACGCCGCGUGAGUGAGGAAGGUCUUCGGAUCGUAAAGCUCUGUCAGGUGGAAAGAAAGGUACGAGUGCUAAUACCGCUCGUACUUGACGGUACCACCAGAGGAAGCACCGGCUAACUCCGUGCCAGCAGCCGCGGUAAUACGGGGGGUGCAAGCGUUGUUCGGAAUUAUUGGGCGUAAAGAGCGUGUAGGCCGCUUGAUAAGUCAGAUGUGAAAGCCCUGGGCUUAACCCAGGAAGUGCAUUUGAAACUGUCUUGCUAGAGUAAGGGAGGGGGAAGUGGAAUUCCUGGUGUAGAGGUGAAAUUCGUAGAUAUCAGGAGGAACACCGGUGGCGAAGGCGACUUCCUGGCCCUAUACUGACGCUGAGACGCGAGAGCGUGGGUAGCAAACAGGAUUAGAUACCCUGGUAGUCCACGCCGUAAACGAUGUUCACUAGGUGUUGGGGGUAUUGACCCCCUCAGUGCCGGAGCUAACGCAUUAAGUGAACCGCCUGGGG